UAGGGAAUAUUAGAAAUGGACGAAAGUCUGAUCUAGCAACACCGCGUAUGCGAAGAAGGCCUUCGGGUUGUAAAGCACUUUUUGGAAGGAUUAGGAAGGAAUGUACUUCCAGAAUAAGUCUCGGCUAACUACGUGCCAGCAGCCGCGGUAACACGUAGGAGGCAAACGUUAUCCGGAUUUACUGGGCGUAAAGCGCGUGUAGGUGGUUCUGUAAGUAGGGCGUGAAAGCUCCUGGCUCAACUGGGAGAGGCCGUUCUAAACUGCAGAGCUAGAGGAUGGUAGAGGGAGGUGGAAUUCCGGGUGUAGCGGUGGAAUGCGCAGAUAUCCGGAGGAACACCAGUGGCGAAAGCGGCCUCCUGGACCAUUCCCGACACUCAGACGCGAAAGCUAGGGUAGCAAACG
rnacentral:rRNA from 1 species